rnacentral:rRNA from 1 species
AUUGAACGCUGGCGGCGUGCUUAACACAUGCAAUUCGAACGAGAACGGGAUAUAGCUUGCUAUAUUUGUCAGCUAAGUGGCGCACGGGUGAGUAAUGUAUAGAUAACCUGCCCUCUAGAAAGGAACAACAGUUGGAAACGACUGCUAAUGCCCUAUAUGCCUUUAAUACAUAAGUAUGCAAGGGAAACGCAUUAGUGCUAGAGGAUGAUUCUUUAUGGUAUCAGCUUGUUGGUGAGGUAAUGGCUCACCAAGGCUAUGACGCCUAACUGGUUUGAGAGUAUGAUCAGUCACACUGGAACUGAGACACUGUCCAGACACCUACGUGUGGCAGCAGUGGGGAAUAUUGCACAAUAGACGAAAGUCUGAUGCAGCAACGCCGCGUGGAGGAUGACACAUUUCGGUGCGUAAACUCCUUUUAUAUAGGAAGAUAAUGACGGUACCGGAAGAAUCAGGACCGGCUAACUACGUGCCAGCCGCCGCGGUAA